GACUACCGGGGUAUCUAAUCCUGUUUGCUCCCCUAGCUUUCGUCGCUCAGCGUCAGAACCGGACCAGGAAACCGCCUUCGCUGCUGGUGUUCUUAGCAAUAUCUACAGAUUUCACCCUUACACUGCUAAUUCCGUUUCCCCCUUCCGGCCUCAAUUCUACCAGUUUGAAAGGCAAUUCUGCGAUUGAGCCGCAGGAUUUCACCCCUCACUUAAUAGACCGCCUACCUACCCUUUACACCCAAUAAUUCCGAGUAACGCUUGCCACCUCCGUAUUACCGCGGCUGCUGGCACGGAGUUGGCCGUGGCUUAUUCGUCAGGUACCGUCAGCUCUUGAUGUGUUAGAUCAAGAGGUUUCUUUCCUAACAAAAGCAGUUUACAACCCGAAAGCCUUCAUCCUGCACGCGGCGUCGCUCAGUCAGGCUUGCGCCCAUUGCUGAAUAUUCUCGACUGCAGCCCCCCGUAGG
rnacentral:rRNA from 1 species